rnacentral:sRNA from 1 species
UGAUUAAUACGUUCCCGGGCCUUGUACACACCGCCCGUCCCUAUCACGAAAGUGGGUUGUACUAGAAGUCUGCGCCCUGACCCGCAAGGGGAGGAGCGGCCCAAGGUAUGACUCAUGAUUGGGGUGAAGUCGUAACAAGGUAGCCGUAGGAGAACCUGCGGCUGGAUCACCUCCUUUCUAAGAGAGAACGUGGGUGCAGUCACUGAAAUCCAAGUAGGUGGCAGCCGUUGCACCCCACACGCCGACAGGCCGAAAUGUACCGGCCAGAAGAUGUCGGCAGCUUCAGCAGUUCUCCACUCGGUUCAACAACAGUUUUUGCUCGUCGAUGUCAGCCACGGAGCGGCAUCGGCGUCCAGUCGGCCUCUUUAAGGGAAUGAGGCGGGGUGUAACAGCCCCGCUUUUUCAUGCGAAGUACGAUCUUUGACAACUGAAUAUCUGACGGGUAGCACAAUGUUCGCUCCCAGAGAUGGGAGUGAGCGCCAGAGGAACGGACUCUGUGAAAGGAGUAAGUUUUAUGGUCAAGCUACUAAGAGCAUGCGUGUGGAUACCUAGGCACACAGAAA